rnacentral:lncRNA from 1 species
UAAAAUUCAACAUUUAUAACUUAUAAUUUAAAAUAUUAAUUAAAACUAAUAUUUUGUUAGCUUAUAUUUAUCAAUUAAUUCAAUUGCUAAUUUUAUAACGCAUUUCAAAUUUAAUUUAUUUGGUUAUAUGGUGUCAACUAACUUAUAUGUGUAUCCAAUAAUUGCUCGUGCAAUGUUGUGCAUGUGAAAUAAGUCUCCCCCUCAUUAGGGUUUCCUACUAACCUUGUUUAGGAUUGUUCUCUCCCUUGUGAAUGUCUUCUUCUUCCCCCAAUUUUUGGGGCUUCUUUUCUCCCUUCAUUUCUUUUCCGCUCCCUAUUGUGCUAGCUAUAGAGCAACCAAAUCAUUGAUCGUGUUUUCAGCCACAUAGCUUCCCUUUCACGAUCCCCUUUAUUACAAAAUGUCUUCACCUAAUCCACUACCUCAAACUCUCACCCCAUUGUUGCGGCCCUACUUGCGGACACAGAUCAAAUUGACCACUCUAAAGUUAUCAUGGAAACUUGGCAUCUUGGUCUUCAUCGUUGCUUGGUUUAGGACCCAAUGUUUUUAUAGUGUUCUUAUGCUUAUCUUGUUCUAUUUCUCUAUUUGUGUUUAUUUUUUAUUUUAGUUUGUUUCACGUUAUGUUUGUUGAAAGUCUCAAAAGUAGGUUUUUUAAAUUGUAUUUUGAUUAAGGUGCUUAUGGUGACCACCACCAAAUGACAUAUGAACAUGUUAUUUAAUUGGUUAUUUUCCUAUACCACCUAUUAUUAAUAUGAAUCUACAUAAGCUAAAUAAAUGAUAUGUAACUUGAUGAGAUAAUAGACCAUGAAUCUCUAAUUCUCCUCGAUAAUACUCGAUAAUUACUUGUAUUGAUAUGGAUAACGUAUACUUAAUUUGCUUAAUUACUUAUAUUGAUCUCGAAAUGUGAUGAGAAACACUUCUCAACACAUGUUCAAUUUAAUUGUAUUAUGGUUGUUCUAG